AGCGAACGCUGGCGGCAGGCCUAACACAUGCAAGUCGAACGAACUCUUCGGAGUUAGUGGCGGACGGGUGAGUAACACGUGGGAACGUGCCUUUAGAUUCGGAAUAACUCAGGGAAACUUGUGCUAAUACCGAAUGUGCCCUUCGGGGGAAAGAUUUAUCGCCUUUAGAGCGGCCCGCGUCUGAUUAGCUAGUUGGUGAGGUAAAGGCUCACCAAGGCGACGAUCAGUGGCUGGUCUGAGAGGAUGAUCAGCCACAUUGGGACUGAGACACGGCCCAAACUCCUACGGGAGGCAGCAGUGGGGAAUCUUGCGCAAUGGGCGAAAGCCUGACGCAGCCAUGCCGCGUGAAUGAUGAAGGUCUUAGGAUUGUAAAAUUCUUUCACCGGGGACGAUAAUGACGGUACCCGGAGAAGAGGCCCCGGCUAACUUCGUG
rnacentral:rRNA from 1 species